UCACCCCUCAAGCCCCGGCUUGGUGUUGGAUCCCGGGUCGCAAGGCCCCGGUCCCAAAGACAAUGACGGCGUCCAGAGGACCCUCGGUGCAACGAGCUUUCACGAGCACGCACUCGAGUUUCAAGGACCUUUGGCCCGGUCUCCCCUUUUAUUUUAUACAA
rnacentral:misc_RNA from 1 species